ensembl:snoRNA SNORA71 Small nucleolar RNA SNORA71
GCCUGUAUCGAAAGUGAUCAUGGCGUCCCCGUCGCCAGGUCAUUGAUAGUACAGGAAGAGGAAGCUGCGAGCCUUUCCCGUGUCUGAAGGACGAUCACUUCCUGUCAGACCCUGGUGCUCUCAGACA